rnacentral:misc_RNA from 1 species
AACUGAUACUACCUGCGGGAACCUGCGGAGGGAUCAUUAGCGAGUUCUGGGUUUCUUUUCGGAGAGCCCAAACUUCCCAACCCUAUGUUUAUUGAAACUCUUGUUGCUUCGGCGGACCCGUUUCUCACGAAACCGCCGGGGGAGUGCUCCCCUGGCCCGCGUCCGUCGAUGGCCACACUCCAAACUCUUGAAAAUAACCAUGUCUAUUCUCUGAGUAACCAAAAAAAUUAAAGCAAAACU